AGUGAUUGUAGUGUGUGUGUUACACUGUCCUCAUAUUGUUUUAAGCUGUGAAGGACAUGAGUGUGUUUCAGUUGCCUUCCUCAUGUGGUUGGAUCAACAACUCUAGUGUGUGUUACACUGUCCUCAUAUUGUUGGUAGCAGAACUGUACAGUGUUAAGUUUCUUUAGAAUCUGGUAUAAGGAAGUCGGAUCCUUCUGUAAUAAUGUUCACUGAUACAAAUAUGAUCUGUAGUUAAUUAUCUAGUCGGGAUUUAUACUAGAGAAUGUUUCUGACGUUAUAUUGUUGUCUUUUGUUGCAGACACCAAGUGCUGAGGUCCUGUCUCAGCCUCAUACAGACCAAUCGACACCAAGUGCUGAGGUCCUGUCUCAGCCUCAUACAGACCAAUCGACACCAAGUGCUGAGGUCCUGUCUCAGCCUCAUACAGACCAAUUGACACCAAGUGCUGAGGUCCUGUCUCAGCCUCAUACAGACCAAUCGACACCAAGUGCUGAGGUCCUGUCUCAGCCUCAUACAGACCAAUCGACACCAAGUGCUGAGGUCCUGUCUCAGCCUCAUACAGACCAAUCGACACCAAGUGCUGAGGUCCUGUCUCAGCCUCAUACAGACCAAUUGCUGGGAAGGUGAGAAGCAAGUGGACAAAUGAUGAAGUAAAGGUUGCUGCAAAGUACCAGGUAAAAGGAAUGUGACUGCUGCUUCCAAGCAGAGCCGGCAGCUCGUAAAGGCAGAGACUGGGUUGCCAUAAAGUACUACAUCCACAACAGGAUCAUUGCAUUAAAAGAAAGAUGCAAGGAAAAAAAGAAACAACCAAGAGAGAUACUUUGUUGCUUCCACAGUUAUGUCAAUAUUGUAGUUUUCUGUAUUGCAUUGUUCUUACUCAUAAAUCUGUGGUUUAUGCUGGG
ensembl:lncRNA